rnacentral:rRNA from 1 species
GACGAACGCUGGCGGCGUGCUUAACACAUGCAAGUCGAACGGAAGGGCGCUGCGUUUGUGGGGUUCUCGUUUGGCGAGCGGGUGAGUGACACGUGAGUAACCUCCCCUUGUCUUUGGGAUAUCUUCAGGGAACUGGGGCGAAUACCGGAUAGGAGAUCCUGCUGCAUGGGGGGGGUUGGAGAGUUCCGGCGGUUGGGGAUGGACUCGCGGGUUAUCAGCUUGUUGGGGGGGUAGUGACGGACCAAGGGUUUGACGGGUAGCCCGCCUGAGAGCGUGACCGGCCACAUUGGGACUGCGAUACGGACCAGAAUCCUACGGGCGGCAGUAGUGGGGAAUAUUGCACAGCGGCGGGACGCGUGAUGCAGAAACGCCGCGUGCGUGAUACCGUCCUUCGGGUUGUAAACCGAUUUCGCCUGUGACGAAGAGUGAGUGACGGUAAUGGGUCAAGAAGCACCGGCUAACUACGUG